rnacentral:tRNA from 1 species
UAUUUAUUAGUUUAAUUUAAAACAUUAUAUUUUCAAUAUAAAAAUAAUAUUAUUUAUAAAUAU